UACAGAGGUGGCAAGCGUUGUUCGGAAUUACUGGGCGUAAAGGGCGCGUAGGCGGUCUCGUAAGUCCUGUGUGAAAUCCCCCGGCUCAACUGGGGAACUGCGUCUGAGACUGGCAAGCUUGAGUGCAGGAGAGGAACGCGGAAUUCCAGGUGUAGCGGUGAAAUGCGUAGAUAUCUGGAGGAACACCGGUGGCGAAGGCGGCGUUCUGGACUGUAACUGACACUGAUGAACGAAAGCCGGGGGAGCAAACGGG
rnacentral:rRNA from 1 species